UUUAAGCGCAGUCAUGAGUUUUCGUGUCAAAUUUUGAUUGUCUGUCUUAUUUGAAUUUCUUUUUGUUAGUAUUUUUAUUGUUAUUAGAUGAUAGAACAUGAAUAAUGACUUAUGUUUUUUUUUAAUUUUAUUUUUUAAAAUAAGAUGAACGAUUAAAGUUGGACAUAAAAACUUAUGGCUGCGCUUAAA
rfam:Oryza sativa Japonica Group DNA, chromosome 1, cultivar: Nipponbare, complete sequence.